rnacentral:tRNA from 2 species
AGAAAUUUAGGUUAACUAGACCAAAAGCCUUCAAAGCUUUAAGUAGAAGUGAAAACCCUCUAAUUUCUG